GUCAGGUACGGUUUGAAAAGAGGAACUUGCUUUCCUUCUAAGUUCAUGUUCUCCGGACGAACAGAACUUCGCAAUCUUCCCAAGAACACCUUAAGAGAACGACAAUCUACUUCAGAAUCUACUGAAUCUGUCGUAGCGGAUUGGCGGCAUCUGGCCACGAGGCAUUGGCGUGUUUGGCGCAUCAGCAAAAUUACGGCAAAAACUCAUGGAGGAGAAAGAAAAGGAGCUGAGAGAUGCCGCCGGGCGAGGUGAGGAGGUCAGAGUUCAGCAGCUCCUAGCCGAGGGGGUCAAUGUCAAUGCUGAUGAUGGUAACAACGUGAGUCAACAUGUCUGUUUGUUGUUUAAACAACGUCAUGAAGGACUUAAUCAACUCUUAGUGCCCCUUUUUUGGUUUUAUCUUUGCAUCAUA